GUUAGAUUUUUUCAGUUUCUGGAGUGAGUUUAAUGCUUUGGUAGACUGUUAAUUAACUGUUAAGUUUUUCAACAAAGUCUUAAUAUCUUGAAAUUGUAUCAGUAUGGUUGAAUAGCAGAAAAAAUAUUACCUUUUUCAGCUAGUAUCAAAAAUGUUUUUUUUUUAAAUUGCAAAAACUUUUUCAUAAAUUAUAUUGAAGAGAGGCAGAUUUAUUAAUCUUCAUACAACAUGAUACAACACCUUCAAAUUAAAAUCACGAACUAAUUUGUUCCGAUGUUAUAAUUUACGAUGAACAAAUCACUAAUUGGUCAUUAACAAGGGAUAUUGCCGUCAAUAAGAGCGGUUAAACAAUAAAAAAGAAGCAAUGAAACGAAUUAUUAAUAGAAGCUCGAACAAAUCGAAUUUUUGAUGGCAUUCAAUUAUAAUAUUCAUACCACAUCAACUUCAACGAACGGGGAGUAAAAUGCUCUAUUUCAUUUCAAUUAUUAUCCAUAAUACCCUGAAACAUUCGCAGUUCAUUAUUCGAGGUGUAGAUCGAUUAAAAACUUGCUCCUUUCGUCUAUCGAGUGUGUUUGCUAUCGAAGUUGGACUCAAAAUAUGUCUAUACGUAGAGAAAAAUAUGAACAUAUGCAAAUAAACGCUUUAAUUCGAACCUGGGGUCAUUCGUUCCGAAAUCCGAAUGAAGAUGAAAAAAUUGAUAAUUCAAAAAAACUAAGCAACGGAUCGUGUUCUCGAGUUUGGUGGAUCAAAACGGCAGGGCCGGCAUUAGGAAUGAAACAGUAAAGCUACCGUUUCAGGCGCCUCUAUUUGAGAGGCGGCAAUUCGGCCCAGUUUGUGGCCGCCUUUUUAUAUUUCAUCGUUGAUUUUAAAAUAACUUAAGUUAGUUUCUUUCCUUGUUUUCCCGAAGUCACAGACUACUCUAUACUCUACUACUCGAUAACUCUUGAAGUAUUCAUUUUAGGUAUAGGGUUUGCUUAAGUGACCCCUUCCUCUUUUUAUUCGUAGAAUUAUUGUUAUUCAUUCCUAUACUCUUUGUCUUUUAUUCGACAGUGCCAAAGGAUACAAGGUAGAAUGUUUGUUUUCGGAAGGAUUCACAUGAAAAACAUGUCGAUCACUUAGUAGAUUCACAGGUCGAAAAUUCCUUAUUAGAGGUUUUUUGACUGAGAUAAUAGAAAAUAUAGAUUCUAAUUUGAAAAUCUUGAGUUUUGAUGAA